rnacentral:lncRNA from 1 species
UUGAAAAACUAAUUAAAACCAUUGGAAGCUGCAUAUCGUUUCAAUGAUUUUGGUAAUCCAUUACUGAUUAACAUUGAUUCAAAGGCUCCUCUGUUACGACCCCAAGAACUUGGUUUUUUUGUGACAUAUAACAAUGGAAGUGAGGUGAUGAUAAUCUCUAAUCAUUGUCAAUGAUAGGGUUUAUGGUUCAAUGAUAGAAAUGCAGCUCAGAGUUUCCUUCAGUUUGUUGCUAUAUAUCAGUUUGUAUCCUUGACUGCUAUU